rnacentral:rRNA from 1 species
GAAUNNUUACGACNNCCCGCGUUANNUGCUAUCUAANAUGUGUUCGUUGNUCUAUGGCUCAGCAUUGAGACGCUCGUCUUUACAGCCUUACACAUGCAAGUCGAACGGUAACAGGUCUUCGGACGCUGACGAGUGGCGAACGGGUGAGUAAUACAUCGGAACGUGCCCAGUCGUGGGGGAUAACUACUCGAAAGAGUAGCUAAUACCGCAUACGAUCUGAGGAUGAAAGCGGGGGCCCUUCGGGCCUCGCGCGAUUGGAGCGGCCGAUGGCAGAUUAGGUAGUUGGUGGGAUAAAAGCUUACCAAGCCGACGAUCUGUAGCUGGUCUGAGAGGACGACCAGCCACACUGGGACUGAGACACGGCCCAGACUCCUACGGGAGGCAGCAGUGGGGAAUUUUGGACAAUGGGCGAAAGCCUGAUCCAGCAAUGCCGCGUGCAGGAUGAAGGCCUUCGGGUUGUAAACUGCUUUUUGUACGGAACGAAAAAGCUCCUUCUAAUACAGGGUGGCCCAUGACGGUACCCGUAAGAAUAAGCAACCGGCUAACU